ACCUGGGUGGCUCAGUUGGUUGAGCAUCUGACUUCGGCUCAGGUCACGAUCUCACAGUUUGUGGGUUCAAGCCCCACAUCAGGCU
rnacentral:tRNA from 1 species